GACGUAGGGAGCAAGCGUUGUCCGGAAUUACUGGGCGUAAAGAGCUCGUAGGCGGGAGCGUAAGUCUGGAAGGAAAUCUCAAGGCUCAACUUUGGGGCUUUUUCAGAUACUGCGUUUCUUGAGGGUAUCAGAGGAUAGUAGAAUUCCCGGUGUAGCGGUGAAAUGCGUAGAUAUCGGGAGGAAUACCAGUGGCGAAGGCGACUGUCUGGAUAUUCCUGACGCUGAGGAGCGAAAGCGUGGGGAGCAAACGGG
rnacentral:rRNA from 1 species